rnacentral:rRNA from 1 species
UUAAGCGACUAAGCGUACACGGUGGAUGCCCUGGCAGUCAGAGGCGAUGAAGGACGUGCUAAUCUGCGAUAAGCGUCGGUAAGGUGAUAUGAACCGUUAUAACCGGCGAUUUCCGAAUGGGGAAACCCAGUGUGAUUCGUCACACUAUCAUUAACUGAAUCCAUAGGUUAAUGAGGCGAACCGGGGGAACUGAAACAUCUAAGUACCCCGAGGAAAAGAAAUCAACCGAGAUUCCCCCAGUAGCGGCGAGCGAACGGGGAGCAGCCCAGAGCCUGAAUCAGUGUGUGUGUUAGUGGAAGCGUCUGGAAAGGCGCGCGAUACAGGGUGACAGCCCCGUACACAAAAAUGCACAUGCUGUGAGCUCGAUGAGUAGGGCGGGACACGUGGUAUCCUGUCUGAAUAUGGGGGGACCAUCCUCCAAGGCUAAAUACUCCUGACUGACCGAUAGUGAACCAGUACCGUGAGGGAAAGGCGAAAAGAACCCCGGCGAGGGGAGUGAAAAAGAACCUGAAACCGUGUACGUACAAGCAGUGGGAGCACGCUUAGGCGUGUGACUGCGUACCUUUUGUAUAAUGGGUCAGCGACUUAUAUUCUGUAGCAAGGUUAACCGAAUAGGGGAGCCGAAGGGAAACCGAGUCUUAACUGGGCGUUAAGUUGCAGGGUAUAGACCCGAAACCCGGUGAUCUAGCCAUGGGCAGGUUGAAGGUUGGGUAACACUAACUGGAGGACCGAACCGACUAAUGUUGAAAAAUUAGCGGAUGACUUGUGGCUGGGGGUGAAAGGCCAAUCAAACCGGGAGAUAGCUGGUUCUCCCCGAAAGCUAUUUAGGUAGCGCCUCGUGAAUUCAUCUCCGGGGGUAGAGCACUGUUUCGGCAAGGGGGUCAUCCCGACUUACCAACCCGAUGCAAACUGCGAAUACCGGAGAAUGUUAUCACGGGAGACACACGGCGGGUGCUAACGUCCGUCGUGAAGAGGGAAACAACCCAGACCGCCAGCUAAGGUCCCAAAGUCAUGGUUAAGUGGGAAACGAUGUGGGAAGGCCCAGACAGCCAGGAUGUUGGCUUAGAAGCAGCCAUCAUUUAAAGAAAGCGUAAUAGCUCACUGGUCGAGUCGGCCUGCGCGGAAGAUGUAACGGGGCUAAACCAUGCACCGAAGCUGCGGCAGCGACACUAUGUGUUGUUGGGUAGGGGAGCGUUCUGUAAGCCUGUGAAGGUGUACUGUGAGGUAUGCUGGAGGUAUCAGAAGUGCGAAUGCUGACAUAAGUAACGAUAAAGCGGGUGAAAAGCCCGCUCGCCGGAAGACCAAGGGUUCCUGUCCAACGUUAAUCGGGGCAGGGUGAGUCGACCCCUAAGGCGAGGCCGAAAGGCGUAGUCGAUGGGAAACAGGUUAAUAUUCCUGUACUUGGUGUUACUGCGAAGGGGGACGGAGAAGGCUAUGUUGGCCGGGCGACGGUUGUCCCGGUUUAAGCGUGUAGGCUGGUUUUCCAGGCAAAUCCGGAAAAUCAAGGCUGAGGCGUGAUGACGAGGCACUACGGUGCUGAAGCAACAAAUGCCCUGCUUCCAGGAAAAGCCUCUAAGCAUCAGGUAACAUCAAAUCGUACCCCAAACCGACACAGGUGGUCAGGUAGAGAAUACCAAGGCGCUUGAGAGAACUCGGGUGAAGGAACUAGGCAAAAUGGUGCCGUAACUUCGGGAGAAGGCACGCUGAUAUGUAGGUGAAGUCCCUCGCGGAUGGAGCUGAAAUCAGUCGAAGAUACCAGCUGGCUGCAACUGUUUAUUAAAAACACAGCACUGUGCAAACACGAAAGUGGACGUAUACGGUGUGACGCCUGCCCGGUGCCGGAAGGUUAAUUGAUGGGGUCAGCGCAAGCGAAGCUCUUGAUCGAAGCCCCGGUAAACGGCGGCCGUAACUAUAACGGUCCUAAGGUAGCGAAAUUCCUUGUCGGGUAAGUUCCGACCUGCACGAAUGGCGUAAUGAUGGCCAGGCUGUCUCCACCCGAGACUCAGUGAAAUUGAACUCGCUGUGAAGAUGCAGUGUACCCGCGGCAAGACGGAAAGACCCCGUGAACCUUUACUAUAGCUUGACACUGAACAUUGAGCCUUGAUGUGUAGGAUAGGUGGGAGGCUUGGAAGUGUGGACGCCAGUCUGCAUGGAGCCGACCUUGAAAUACCACCCUUUAAUGUUUGAUGUUCUAACGUUGACCCGUAAUCCGGGUUGCGGACAGUGUCUGGUGGGUAGUUUGACUGGGGCGGUCUCCUCCUAAAGAGUAACGGAGGAGCACGAAGGUUGGCUAAUCCUGGUCGGACAUCAGGAGGUUAGUGCAAUGGCAUAAGCCAGCUUGACUGCGAGCGUGACGGCGCGAGCAGGUGCGAAAGCAGGUCAUAGUGAUCCGGUGGUUCUGAAUGGAAGGGCCAUCGCUCAACGGAUAAAAGGUACUCCGGGGAUAACAGGCUGAUACCGCCCAAGAGUUCAUAUCGACGGCGGUGUUUGGCACCUCGAUGUCGGCUCAUCACAUCCUGGGGCUGAAGUAGGUCCCAAGGGUAUGGCUGUUCGCCAUUUAAAGUGGUACGCGAGCUGGGUUUAGAACGUCGUGAGACAGUUCGGUCCCUAUCUGCCGUGGGCGCUGGAGAACUGAGGGGGGCUGCUCCUAGUACGAGAGGACCGGAGUGGACGCAUCACUGGUGUUCGGGUUGUCAUGCCAAUGGCACUGCCCGGUAGCUAAAUGCGGAAGAGAUAAGUGCUGAAAGCAUCUAAGCACGAAACUUGCCCCGAGAUGAGUUCUCCCUGACUCCUUGAGAGUCCUGAAGGAACGUUGAAGACGACGACGUUGAUAGGCCGGGUGUGUAAGCGCAGCGAUGCGUUGAGCUAACCGGUACUAAUGAACCGUGAGGCUUAACCU